UACGUAGGGGGCUAGCGUUGUUCGGAAUUACUGGGCGUAAAGCGCACGUAGGCGGAUAUUUAAGUCAGGGGUGAAAUCCCGGGGCUCAACCCCGGAACUGCCUUUGAUACUGGGUAUCUCGAGUCCGAGAGAGGUGAGUGGAAUUCCGAGUGUAGAGGUGAAAUUCGUAGAUAUUCGGAGGAACACCAGUGGCGAAGGCGGCUCACUGGCUCGGUACUGACGCUGAGGCACGAAAGCGUGGGGAGCAAACAGG
rnacentral:rRNA from 1 species